rnacentral:rRNA from 1 species
GUUGAUCCCGCCGGACCCGACUGCUAUUUGGGUGAGGAUAAGCCAUGCGAGUUGAAUGGGAAACCUAAAGUUCCCAUGGCAAACUGCUCAGUAACACAUGAUCAACUUACCCUAUAGAGAAAAAUAACCUCGGGAAACUGAGGAUAAUGUUUCAUAGUUGAAUUGGCUUGGAAAAGUUUUUCGACAAAAGGGGUAAAAAAAAUGGUUUUUAUCUGCUAUAGGAUAGGAUCGUGUUCGAUUAUGGUUGUUGGUGAGGUAAUGGCUCACCAAGCCGAUAAUCGAUAGGGGCCGUGAGAGCGGGAGCCCCGAGAUGGGUACUGAGACAACGACCCAGGCCUUACGAGGCGCAGCAGGCGCGAAACCUCCGCAAUACACGAAAGUGUGACGGGGUUACCCAAAGUGUUCAAUUUUGAACUGUGGUAGGUGAGUAAUGUUCCCUACUAGAAAGGAGAGGGCAAGGCUGGUGCCAGCCGCCGCGGUAAAACCAGCUCUUCAAGUGGUCGGGAUAAUUAUUGGGCUUAAAGUGUCCGUAGCCGGUUUAGUAAGUUCCUGGUAAAAUCGGGUAGCUUAACUAUCUAUAUGCUAGGAAUACCACUAUACUAGAGGGCGGGAGAGGUCUGAGGUACUGCAGGGGUAGGGGUGAAAUCUUAUAAUCCUUGUUGGACCACCAGUGGCGAAGGCGUCAGACUGGAACGCGCCUGACGGUGAGGGACGAAAGCCAGGGGAGCGAACCGGAUUAGAUACCCGGGUAGUCCUGGCCGUAAACGAUGCAUACUAUGUGAUGGCACGGCCAUGAGCCGUGUCAGUGCCGUAGGGAAACCGUUAAGUGUGCCGCCUGGGAAGUACGGUCGCAAGGCUAAAACUUAAAGGAAUUGGCGGGGGAGCACCACAAGGGGUGAAGCCUGCGGUUCAAUUGGAUUCAACGCCGGGAAUCACUAGUGCGGCCGCCU